UACGUAGGUGGCAAGCGUUGUCCGGAUUUAUUGGGCGUAAAGGGCGCGCAGGCGGUUCGUUAAGUCCGAGGUGAAAUCUCCCGGCCUAACUGGGAGGGGUCUUCGGAUACUGGCGGACUUGAGGAGAGCAGAGGUGAGCGGAAUUCUCGGUGUAGUGGUGAAAUGCGUAGAUAUCGAGAGGAACACCAGCGGCGAAGGCGGCUCACUGGGCUCCACCUGACGCUGAGGCGCGAAAGCGUGGGGAGCAAACCGG
rnacentral:misc_RNA from 1 species